AAACUUUCAACAACGGAUCUCUUGGUUCUAUGAAUCAAAACUUUCAACAACGGAUCUCUUGGUUCUAGCAUCGAUGAAGAACGCAGCGAAAUGCGAUAAGUAGUAUGAAUUGCAGAAUUCAGUGAAUCAUCGAAUCUUUGAACGCACAUUGCGCCUCUUGGUAUUCCAUGAGGCAUGCCUGUUCGAGCGUUAU
rnacentral:rRNA from 1 species